ACUCCUACGGGAGGCAGCAGUGGGGAAUAUUGCACAAUGGGGGAAACCCCUGAUGCAGCGACGCCGCGUGAGAGGAAGAAGUUUUCGGUAUGUAAAACUCUAUCAGCAGGGAAGAUAAUGACGUACCU
rnacentral:rRNA from 1 species